rnacentral:rRNA from 1 species
UGGGGGAUAUUGCACAAUGGGCGAAAGCCUGAUGCAGCGACGCCGCGUGGGGGAUGAAGGCCUUCGGGUUGUAAACUUCUUUUGCUCUGAACAAGGCAUGCUAAUGGGUGUGUUGAGUGUAGGGGUUGAUUAGCGCCGGCUAACUACGUGCCAGCAGCCGCGGUAAUACGUAGGGCGCGAGCGUCGUCCGGAAUUAUUGGGCGUAAAGGGCUUGUAGGUGGCUGGUUGCGUCUGUCGUGAAAGCUCAUGGCUUAACUGUGGGUUUGCGUUGGGUACGGGCUGGCUUGAGUGCAGUAGGGGAGGCUGGAAUUCCUGGUGUAGCGGUGGAAUGCGCAGAUAUCAGGAGGAAUACCGGUGGCGAAGGCGGGUCUCUGGGCUGUUACUGACACUGAGGAGCGAAAGCAUGGGGAGCGAACAGG